UGGUUCUGGCAUNGAUGAAGAACGCAGCGAAAUGCGAUAAGUAAUGUGAAUUGCAGAAUUCAGUGAAUCAUCGAAUCUUUGAACGCAUAUUGCGCCCUCGGGUAUUCCCGAGGGCAUACCUGUUCGAGCGUCAUAUCACCCUCACGCCUAGCGUGGUCUUGGGCGCGGCCGGUCCCGGCCGUCCCUUAAAAUGAGUAGCUACGUCUCGCCGCCUGGAGCAAAGUCAUUGCUUGCUACCAGCGCGGCGGUCCGGGGCUAAAAGUUGGUUGGCACGGUUGACCUCGGAUCAGGUAAGGAUACCCGCUGA
rnacentral:misc_RNA from 1 species